GGGAGCCCCGCCCAGCCCCGCCCCCACGCCCACACCCGUGGCCCAUGGUGCCCCUAACUGUCGAGAUGUGCCCAGGGAGCAGGGGCGACAGUAAGCACCAGGAAGGGCCCUUCCGGUUGUGGUUUCCUGAAAGACGGAGGGGAGACCUGGAGGGGAACCCUAGACGGGGCUUCCUGUGUGCUGGGAAUAAAACAGGCCGAGAGGAAGAACAGGGACGGACAGAAACCCUCUGCCUCCUGACCCGCCCUGGUGCUUCUCCAUGAGGUCCCUCGUGGUGGUGUGCAUGGCCCCCUCCGCCUGGAUCUCACACCACUGCCCACACAGUAAGUGUGCAAUAGACACUUGAAUGAAGGAAGGAAUGGAUGAGCAUUCGGUCGGCUACCAACGUGAGCUUGCUGCAAACGGAGGGAGCCCCUCCCUCGGCACCAGCACCCCCUACCUAGCCAAGGGUCGCCUGGCCCUAUUGACGGCCUCCAGGUCAGCAUAGCGCAGGUCCAGCUGGCAGCCCACCAGGAUGACAGCUAAGAAAAAUCAUAUCAGGCGGCAGAGCUGGGACUUGAACCAGACCUCCUGGCACGGAGCCCUGGCUCCUUUCACCACCCCAGGCUGCCCCAGCCCCUGCAAGUGUGGACCAGAGCUGUUUUCUCCACUCCUUCCUCCCCACUGAAAUUUCACAAGGUUGCUCAGUUCUUGGGAAGGUGUCCCAGAGGCGCAGGGAGACGCUGACAUCAUCUACCACGUCUCGGGAGCGUUCCAGCACCUGGAGAAUGAAGCACAACAGUUCCUGGGUCCCCUGCGUGGCAGCCCACUGCGUGCCUCACACAACAUCUCAUCCACGGGAAAUCUCUAUAGCAUCAACAAAGGCUGCUUCCAAGCUGACCGGAAGUGAAAGAGACCCUAAGAGAGUAGAUGGUUACGGGGUGCAAGGGACCUCUUCCGGAGCCUACUCUUGUUCCCAGCUUUCCCUGCAAAUUGGAUGUUUACGAGCCUCUGGUCUUUUAGUAUUAGCUGCCAGCUUCCUUCUUUUGCUCUCCCAAGCCCCAGCCCCACGCACUGCUCCCUGUUACUUGGGGCUAGGAUUGCACAAGGUGUAGUACCCAAGACACAGCUGGGGUCCCCAGUGAAAUAAAAAAAACGGUCAGAGAAACCCCCCCCCCAGGGUGGGCUAGCUUCAGACCUCUCUCCAGGGGCUCCUUCCUCUUCAGCUGCCCCUCCAACCCCAGGGGCCUCUGGAGACCCCAAGCUGUGGCUUGGGAAGAAGCCCCCCAAGUCCAGAUGUGCAGCUGGACCCCCAGCCUUACCUCCUGGCACACACGGUACUGGUCGAUGGCCCACACUGUGGGCACGUGGGUGGCCAGCAGCUGGUACUGGGUGAGGGUGGCAUUGCAGGCACGG